rnacentral:ncRNA from 1 species
GAGCACCUGGGACGCGAUGAUCCUCGGACCGAGCACCGGUCGCCGCAGGGAUGGACCCCAUCCCGACGGUCCGAGGGGAGCGAGUGGCGAGACCGACCCGGAUCCAC